rnacentral:rRNA from 1 species
ACUCAAAUGAAUUGACGGGGGCCCGCACAAGCGGUGGAGUAUGUGGUUUAAUUCGACGCUACGCGCAGAACCUUACCAAUCCUUGACAUGGGUAGUAUGGACCUUGGAAUCUUGGUCCUUCACUUCGGGUGGCUACCACACAGGUGCUGCAUGGCUGUCGUCAGCUCGUGUCGUGAGAUGUUGGGUUAAGUCCCGCAACGAGCGCAACCCUCAUCCUUAGUUGCUACCAGUUCGGCUGGGCACUCUAGGGAAACUGCCGGUGACAAGCCGGAGGAAGGCGGGGAUGACGUCAAGUCCUCAUGGCCCUUACGGAUUGGGCUACACACGUACUACAAUGGCAGUGACAAUGAGCUGCAAACCUGCAAGGGUGAGCUAAUCUAUAAAAACUGCCUCAGUUCGGAUUGUCCUCUGCAACUCGAGGGCAUGAAGCUGGAAUCGCUAGUAAUCGCGUAACAGCAUGACGCGGUGAAUACGUUCCCGGGCCUUGUACACACCGCCCGU